AUUGAACGCUGGCGGCAGGCCUAACACAUGCAAGUCGAACGAGUGGCGGACGGGUGAGUAAUGUCUGGGAAACUGCCCGAUGGAGGGGGAUAACUACUGGAAAAGGUAGCUAAUACCGCAUACCAUCGGAUGUGCCCAGAAGGGAUUAGCUAGUAGGUGGGGUAAAGGCUCACCUAGGCGACGAUCCCUAGCGGGUCUGAGAGGAUGACCAGCCACACGGGAACUGAGACACGGUCCAGACUCCAACGGGAGGCAGCAGUGGGGAAUAUUGCACAAUGGGCGCAAGCCUGAUGCAGCCAUGCCGCGUGUAGGAAGAAGGCCUUCGGUUUGUAAAGUACUUUCAGCGGGGAGGCGUUACCCGCAGAAGAAGCACCGGCUAACUCCGUGCCAGCCGCCGCGGUAAUAC
rnacentral:rRNA from 1 species